rnacentral:snRNA from 1 species
GUGUUUGCUUCAGCAGCACACAAACUAAACUGAUGAUAUGGAGAAGAUUAGCAUGGCCCCUGGACAAAGAUGGCAUGAAAUUUGUGGAGAGUUAAAAAAAGAGCCUAUUUUU